rnacentral:rRNA from 1 species
AUUGAACGCUGGCGGCAUGCCUUACACAUGCAAGUCGAACGGUAACGGGCCUUCGGGUGCCGACGAGUGGCGAACGGGUGAGUAAUGUAUCGGAACGUACCUUUCAGUGGGGGAUAACGUAGCGCAAGUUACGCUAAUACCGCAUAUUCUGUGUGCAGGAAAGCAGGGGAUCGCAAGACCUUGCGCUGAUUGAGCGGCCGAUAUCAGAUUAGCUAGUUGGUGAGGUAAAGGCUCACCAAGGCGACGAUCUGUAGCGGGUCUGAGAGGAUGAUCCGCCCAACUGGAACUGAGACACGGGCCAGACUCCUACGGGAGGCAGCAGUGGGGAAUUUUGGACAAUGGGGGCAACCCUGAUCCAGCCAUGCCGCGUGAGUGAAGAAGGCCUUCGGGUUGUAAAGCUCUUUCGGCCGGGAAGAAAUCGUAUCAGCCAAUACCUGGUGCGGAUGACGGUACCGGCAUAAGAAGCACCGGCUAACUACGUGCCAGCCGCCGCGGUAAUAC